AAGGAAUAUUGGUCAAUGGGCGCAAGCCUGAACCAGCCAUCCCGCGUGAAGGAUGAAGGGGCUCUGCCUUGUAAACUUCUUUUGUCUGGGGCGAAAAAGCUCGAUUUAUCGAGAACUGACGGUACCAGAAGAAUAAGCACCGGCUAACUCCGUGCCAGCAGCCGCGGUAAUACGGAGGGUGCAAGCGUUAUCCGGAAUCACUGGGUUUAAAGGGUGCGUAGGCGGCUUAGUAAGUCAGUGGUGAAAGGCUGUGGCUUAACCAUGGAAUUGCCAUUGAUACUGCAGAGCUUGAAUGAGGUUGAGGUUGGCGGAAUGUGACAUGUAGCGGUGAAAUGCUUAGAUAUGUCAUGGAACACCGAUUGCGAAGGCAGCUGACUGGACCUAUAUUGACGCUGAGGCACGAAAGCGUGGGGAGCGAAC
rnacentral:rRNA from 1 species